rnacentral:rRNA from 1 species
AUUGAACGCUGGCGGCAGGCCUAACACAUGCAAGUCGGACGGUAGCGCAGGGGAGCUUGCUCCUCGGGUGACGAGUGGCGGACGGGUGAGUAAUGUCUGGGGAUCUGCCCGAUAGAGGGGGAUAACCACUGGAAACGGUGGCUAAUACCGCAUAACGUCGCAAGACCAAAGAGGGGGACCUUCGGGCCUCUCACUAUCGGAUGAACCCAGAUGGGAUUAGCUAGUAGGCGGGGUAACGGCCCACCUAGGCGACGAUCCCUAGCUGGUCUGAGAGGAUGACCAGCCACACUGGAACUGAGACACGGUCCAGACUCCUACGGGAGGCAGCAGUGGGGAAUAUUGCACAAUGGGCGCAAGCCUGAUGCAGCCAUGCCGCGCGUAUGAAGAAGGCCUUCGGGUUGUAAAGUACUUUCAGCGGGGAGGAAGGCGAUGUGGUUAAUAACCGCGUCGAUUGACGUUACCCGCAGAAGAAGCACCGGCUAACUCCGUGCCAGCCGCCGCCGUAA